UUAAGGUUAGCUAUAUGGAUCAUUGUCCUGCUUUUAGGGCUACAUUUUCAAAAAGAUCUAGGGCUGCUAAAUCCUGAAUCAGGGUAUCGCCCCAAUAAGGUAGACUAUCAACCAAUUAAGAUCCCUCUGAAGUCUGAUGUGGGGCCUUUAAAAGAGGCUGCUUUGAAGCCUCAAACCUAAAAACUCUAAUUUCAUGACAGAAUUUACCACUGCACAACUCCAUGCCCAUUAGCCCUGAUAAUGUAGCAUUAAAGAAAUUGAUAUAACAAUAGCAAUAAAUGAAAAGGAAAUUUCAAGUAAGCAGAGUAACAGAUGGAUGAAAAGAAAUGCAAUGCAACUUUGCAUAACACGAAUAUAUCACUUCCAAGAAAUUGAUGUCCUAAACACUGUUGAAUUCAAU
rnacentral:misc_RNA from 1 species